rnacentral:rRNA from 1 species
AGUGAACGCUGGCGGCAGGCCUAAUACAUGCAAGUCGAACGGCAGCACAGUGGAGCUUGCUCCAUGGGUGGCGAGUGGCGGACGGGUGAGGAAUACAUGGGAAUCUGCCCAGUCGUGGGGGAUAACGUAUGGAAACGUACGCUAAUACCGCAUGCGCCCUUCGGGGGAAAGUCGGGGACCGCAAGGCCUGACGCGAUUGGAUGAGCCCAUGUUCGAUUAGCUAGUUGGCGGGGUAACGGCCCACCAAGGCGACGAUCGAUAGCUGGUCUGAGAGGAUGAUCAGCCACACUGGAACUGAGACACGGUCCAGACUCCUACGGGAGGCAGCAGUAGGGAAUAUUGGACAAUGGGCGCAAGCCUGAUCCAGCCAUGCCGCGUGAGUGAAGAAGGCCCUCGGGUUGUAAAGCUCUUUGUUGGGAAGAAAAGCAGUUGGUUAAUACCCGAUUGUUCUGACGGUACCCAAAGAAUAAGCACCGGCUAACUUCGUGCCAGCAGCCG